rnacentral:rRNA from 1 species
CGCCUGGGGAGUACGGGUGAGGUAACGGCUCACCAAGGCAUCGACGGGUAGCUGGUCUGAGAGGAUGAUCAGCCACACUGGGUCUGAGACACGGCCCAGACUCCUACGGGAGGCAGCAGUGGGGAAUAUUGCACAAUGGGCGAAAGCCUGAUGCAGCAACGCCGCGUGCGGGAUGAAGGCCCUAGGGUUGUAAACCGCUUUCAGCAGGGAAGAAAAUGACGGUACCUGUAGAAGAAGGUGCGGCCAACUACGUGCCAGCAGCCGCGGUGACACGUAGGCACCAAGCGUUGUCCGGAUUUAUUGGGCGUAAAGAGCUCGUAGGCGGUUCAGUAAGUCGGGUGUGAAAACUCUGGGCUCAACCCAGAGACGCCACCCGAUACUGCUGUGACUAGAGUGCGGUAGGGGAGCGGGGAAUUCCUAGUGUAGCGGUGAAAUGCGCAGAUAUUAGGAGGAACACCAGUGGCGAAGGCGCCGCUCUGGGCCGUAACUGACGCUGAGGAGCGAAAGCGUGGGUAGCAAACAGGAUUAGAUACCCUGGUAGUCCACGCCGUAAACGUUGGGCACUAGGUGUGGGUCUCAACCAACGAGAUCCGCGCCGUCGCUAACGCAUUAAGUGCCCCGCCUGGGGAGUACGG